CUGAUAAUUAGCUGGUGUGGAAGAAAUCAGGCGGCACUUUACUGAUGUGAAGUUUGAAAGCUAUUUUCUGAACAUAAAAGAAAGAAAGUCUGACAGGAUUUAUGCAAGGAUACUGAAACACCACGGAUGGAUUGACGUAGAGCUAGUACUGGUAGUGGGGCAAAAGUGGAUGCUGCUAGUAACAGGUAUCGGAGGGGGCAAGACAAGGGCUAGCUAGCAUAGAGGCGAUUUUAAACUUCAGCGCUUCAAACGUAAGCAGUUCUGCGUCAAAUCAUGUAAAUCAGACCAUCCGCCUCGUACAUGAUAAAGAAUAGCACCAGUAAAAGCAAGCAGUAUCCCACUGUUUUGUGUUGGCUCGAUGAAAGGUGAUACAAACGAAUUUCCGAAUCACAUUAUGUCGGCUUGGUUGUAGUUGUUGUGGCCAGUCAAUAGACAAGCUUUGAACCGUAGUUCCAUGUAAGUGUCGUGGUUUUCACCGUUUCAGUAUGUAGUUGAAUAUGGUAGAUCUGGGCAACUGGUCAACGCUGUCGUGUUUUGUCUCGGUAGACCUCGUAUGACGGUGUGUUGGGAAAAUACCGGCAGUUGUUUCAGAUGGAGGGUGCGACGUGCCAGAUGUACGCUGUUCGAGGGAUAAAACUGACACGCACGAGAUAUUGUAGGCAAUGGUAAUUGGUGACGAUACCAUGACGUUUGAAAAGAAGAUUCAAAGUUUGAGUUUUAGGUGGCAGAGUAGAACAGCUGCGUGUGAAGUGUGGCGACUACCAAGGUAUCAACACCAGUUAUGGCUACGGGAUUUUUAAAGUACCUUCAAUGCACUGGGAACUAACGUGCUCUCCCCCCCUCUCUCUCCUCUCUUAAUCAGGGCCCAGGUCUUGUGGCCACAUCUGUCCAAGCUCCUACUCUGAUUGAACAGUUAGAUGAUCAGACUGAUGAUGAAAAGUGCUACACAGUUCUCACACAUCUUCUGACUCCGAAGCCGCUGCAGUGUAAAAUCUGAGAUGUCUUUUCUGGUUGACUUUGUGCAGGUAUUUUUCAAAGGAUAGUUACUUUUAAAACGUCUUAAUCUCUAAAAACACUUUCAUGCAGAGCCUCUGUUAGGACCUCAUUGCGAUACAUGUUAUGACCUUGUCACCAAAAUGUCAAUGACCAUAUUUUAACCUGCUAUUUAAGGCUGUCAUAGCCAUAUUCUUAUAACAAUGCAGUUAAGUUCAAGAGAACUAUAGUUUGGUGAUAUGGAUCCCAAACGGAAGGGAACAGCAGCGGUUUGUAGUUGUAGAGAACUAAUUAGCGCCAAGUGUUGUUAACCUGUUGUUUCUUGUUUACCUUUCACAGUAGCCCAUAGCACUUUUGUCAUAGAGAGCAACUUGGUCAGUAAAUAUGUGCCUGCUGUAUAAAGUAGCAGUAUUUGGAUGAGUUACAGCUAACACGGCAAACUUGAGACUGUAUAUUGUGUGUUUGACAGAUUUCUGACAGCGACAGCGAUGGUGAGGGAAGCAGUGUACCGAACUCUCAGAUGACUCGGACCAGGUGACCAAACCCAUGCAAAGCACAAUGACUGUGCUGAGGCGUUCCGCCCCCCUCCCCCUCCACACCACUCAAGGCACUGCGGCGGCCCAACCGCAAACUAACGGAGAUUAACAUGAGGCUGGAUGCGCUUGGCUCCCUGCUGCGUCCAUCACCAGAGGGGCCGGGAUUGCUGCGGCAGCUAGCCAAUUAAAGGAGGAGGAUGAAGGAGAGGAGUCUGACGAUGCAGACAUCGCCAUCGUAUGCAGUCCACGCCCUCGCAGGAAAACCAGCCAAUGAAAACGCUUGCAGCAGCAUCAGCAGAACACACCGGCACGACUGACAGAGCUUCUGAAGCAUGCAGUGGAAGAGCUGUCAGUCAAGCUAAAGGUCCCGCCCUCCAACCUGCUGCUGCUGCACGGACAGGCGGAACUUAACACCUCACACACUAUUGGCCAGCUAGGACUCUGCAUCGCUGACAUCUUUGUCUGGAACCAACUUCACAUCCCUCUUCACUGCACUACUGACACUGAGAUGGAAUCCACAACCCAACCACUAGUGAUCUGCAUUGGGAACCUGAAGAGUCUGUCAUAACCGCCAGGAAUGACCGUGUGACCAUUCCCGUUGCAGACGGCCUGACUUGCACAAUUGACAAGCUGUUCAAGCUUUACUGGGUCUGCAACUUGUUAUAUCCAGCACAGCUCAGCUCUGUUUUCACCUUCUUUGAAUAUGUUUAUGACGCUCCCAUCUCAACCAACAAACGAACAAAGGCACUACAACUUCUCUCAAAGCUUCCCAGCAGCCCAGUGAUCACAACAUGUGUUUAUGCCCAAAAUGUAAAUAGUUACUACAGACAUCAAGAAAGUAGUUUGGCAUCUUUGUCAAGUACACGCUUUGUCAGAUGCACAGGAUAUGAUGAUAAUUUGCAGCCAAGAUGGCUGUUCAAGUGUACAAGGACUUACUAUGUAGACACCACCUCCGUAGACAACACCAGUCCACAACAACAGAAAUGGGAGUAUCUUUCAAUGACUCUUUUGAAUCCACUGACAUUCAGACAGCCUAUGCAGCUUCAAGUAACACCUGAAGAAAGAGCAUUUUGUGUCCCUUCUCAAGGACCGAUUCUCCAUAAUUUACCACUUAAUGACAAUUUAUCUGUGUUCAUGCUUGUUAGGAUUAUUACAGGGAAUUAUUUUGAUUAUCAUUUUGGCAACACUUUAUUUUAUCAUUACAUCUAUUAGCUCUAAUACAUACAGUGUUAAUGCCUGUAUGCUGUAUAAGUAACUUGUAAGGCAUGCACUAAGCAAAAUCAAACAUACGUUAGGCAUGUAUUCGCAAAUGCCUUGUUCAUGCACAAUUUGGGAUUUAUUACCUAAUAUAACCUCAGUAAGGACCUAACAAAUGUUUGAUUUCGCUUAGUACAUGCCUUACAAGUUACUUAUACAGGCAUUAACUCAUUGAUACUGGAUGUUGCGUUGUGCAACAUUGGCCCUGGCGCCUGGAGUUUUGUAUGGCAUCAGCACCCUUUUCUGCAAGUGCUUUAGGCAUCAAUGGGUUAACAUUGUAUGUAUUAGUGCUAAGCGAUGUAAUGUUAAAAUAAAGUGUUACCAUCAUAUUUUUAAAAAAUAUAUAUGUUGUAAAACUGGACGAUUGUGAAAUUAUAUGAUGUGGCAGAUGUAAGACCCAUUGAUGUAAUGCAGAGUUUUCAUUCAGAUGAACUGUCUCUUAACCCAAGGUACAAUGUCUUUUCUUCCAAUAUGUUGGAACCUAUUUCAUAAGAAUGUUAUUUUCAAGAAUAUUUAACACUACUUCGAAUUUCAAGACUUUCGGGUUUUGUAAUACACCGGUAAUGUUGUUAAGAGAUGAUAGUGUACGAGUCAUAAUCAUCAAUACUUCAUGAAAUUCGCAGUGAUGUUAAUUAUUCUUGAAAAAGAUCACAUUUGUUAUCUCCCCCUCUUCUGAAAAGCCUAACAAAAAUAAUAUGACAGUAAAGUUAAUGUAAUACAAUUUUUUUUUUAAAUUGAAUGUAAACACAACUCUACAAAAAAAAACGUUGCAGAGGUAUGUAGUCAAGACUUUUGAAGAUUGAACCUUGUAAACAAAAGUGUUUUCUAAAUAAAAGUAAACCCCCCCUGUCA